UUGAACGCUGGCGGCAGGCCUAACACAUGCAAGUCGAACGGUAACAGGAAGAAGCUUGCUUCUUUGCUGACGAGUGGCGGACGGGUGAGUAAUGUCUGGGAAACUGCCUGAUGGAGGGGGAUAACUACUGGAAACGGUAGCUAAUACCGCAUAACGUCGCAAGACCAAAGAGGGGGACCUUAGGGCCUCUUGCCAUCGGAUGUGCCCAGAUGGGAUUAGCUAGUAGGUGGGGUAAAGGCUCACCUAGGCGACGAUCCCUAGCUGGUCUGAGAGGAUGACCAGCCACACUGGAACUGAGACACGGUCCAGACUCCUACGGGAGGCAGCAGUGGGGAAUAUUGCACAAUGGGCGCAAGCCUGAUGCAGCCAUGCCGCGUGUAUGAAGAAGGCCUUCGGGUUGUAAAGUACUUUCAGCGGGGAGGAAGGUGUUGUGGUUAAUAACCACAGCAAUUGACGUUACCCGCAGAAGAAGCACCGGCUAACUCCGUGCCAGCAGCCGCGGUAAUACGGAGGGUGCAAGCGUUAAUCGGAAUUACUGGGCGUAAAGCGCACGCAGGCGGUCUGUCAAGUCGGAUGUGAAAUCCCCGGGCUCAACCUGGGAACUGCAUUCGAAACUGGCAGGCUUGAGUCUCGUAGAGGGGGGUAGAAUUCCAGGUGUAGCGGUGAAAUGCGUAGAGAUCUGGAGGAAUACCGGUGGCGAAGGCGGCCCCCUGGACGAAGACUGACGCUCAGGUGCGAAAGCGGGGGGAGCAAACAGGAUUAGAUACCCUGGUAGUCCACGCCGUAAACGAUGUCUAUUUGGAGGUUGUGCCCUUGAGGUGUGGCUUCCGGAGCUAACGCGUUAAAUAGACCGCCUGGGGAGUACGGCCGCAAGGUUAAAACUCAAAUGAAUUGACGGGGGCCCGCACAAGCGGUGGAGCAUGUGGUUUAAUUCGAUGCAACGCGAAGAACCUUACCUGGUCUUGACAUCCACAGAACUUUCCAGAGAUGGAGGGGUGCCUUCGGGAACUGUGAGACAGGUGCUGCAUGGCUGUCGUCAGCUCGUGUUGUGAAAUGUUGGGUUAAGUCCCGCAACGAGCGCAACCCUUAUCCUUUGUUGCCAGCGGUUAGGCCGGGAACUCAAAGGAGACUGCCAGUGAUAAACUGGAGGAAGGUGGGGAUGACGUCAAGUCAUCAUGGCCCUUACGACCAGGGCUACACACGUGCUACAAUGGCGCAUACAAAGAGAAGCGAACUCGCGAGAGCAAGCGGACCUCAUAAAGUGCGUCGUAGUCCGGACUGGAGUCUGCAACUCGACUCCAUGAAGUCGGAAUCGCUAGUAAUCGUGGAUCAGAAUGCCACGGUGAAUACGUUCCCGGGCCUUGUACUCACCGCC
rnacentral:rRNA from 1 species